rnacentral:lncRNA from 1 species
CAAACUAUUUAGCCACUGUUUAUCACGUAUGAUACAUGUAGCUUUUAUGUCUCAGUGAGCUCUGAAAUUAAAGUUAAUUUAGAUCAUGCUUUGAAUGAAUAUCCAAGUAUUUGCCCAAAGAGUUUGAGACCAACCUAAAGAAAGCAGCACAGUUAUCAUAGUGUCCCGCACAGCUGAAGUGUCGGCCAUCAAAGCAGUACAGGGAGGCUUACACUGACAGUAUCAUCCUGAGCCCUUUUAAACAUUUACAUUUUAUUUGUUUAUUUUUUUACUGUCGUCAGAUCAUAACCUGAUACUUUAUUAAAGCCGGCAGGAAUCAAUAAAACUGUAAACAGAAUAGAAAUAUUAAUGUAUCGUCUUUAUUCAUUUUUAGUAAACAGACUUCAUAUCUCAUCAUCAUCUCAUUAGUGACAGUUUGAUAGAGUUCAAAUCAAGUACAACAGACAACCUGAUGCUAAAUCUGUUUGUCAACUGAACCACUUUAAAUGCUGCGUGUAAAACCGUGUGUUAGCACAUCGUCACUGACAGCAGGAGGAGCGUACACGCUGUGUCCAAAACAGAAACCACACAGUGGUCUGGACGUGCUCUACGCCGAUUAAUCGACGUUUGCUGUUGCUGUUUAAGAAGAAUAAACAGCUAGCAACUGAAAGACGAGGAGACAACAUUAGCGCCUGACUGUAAUAUGCCCAGGAAGUUCAGCAGGUUUGCUCACUUUCAUGAAGAGGAGCUCAUGGUUCCUGGAAAUGGCCGAUAGAAGCUGAGCACGAAUGAAAAGGCAGGAAACUCAUUCCUCAAAACUCAGGUUAUAAGAGUUAGAAAUGUUCACUGAGAGCAAAAUUAUCAUCUGGAUCGCUCUAGUUUCAUGGCCAAACCCUGCCUAUAUAUUUGCUGUGAAAAGGGCUCAGAGUGUCUACGAGGCUGAAGAGGGCAGCAACAUCACCAUCAGAGUGGACAGUCAGCUCCAAGCUGACGUGUCUCUGGCUCACUUGAUGUGUGUUUUCUACUCACAUGAUACUAAGAUAUUGUUUAAAAUGACCAGAGGAGUGGAGGACUCUGAGUCUCAGCACGAACAGUUUGCAAGACGAGUUCAGAUCAACAGAGACGCCCUGAGAGGAGGAAGAGUCAGACUUCAUGUGUCCAGAGUCACAGCUGAAGACUCUGGAAACUACCGCUGUGAUCUGGCUGCUGAUUAUAACAAGGUUCUGAGGAGAUGGGAGCUCGAGGCCUCUGAAUAUUUCAUCUUGAAUGUGACUCGCUCUCAUUCAGUAAGCAGUGACGCGUUCCACACCACACCAAAGCCAGAUGAAGGAGCAGGAGGUCGAAAGGAGAAACACAGAGCUUAUGACUGGAACAAAGUUAAAAUUGAUCUAGGAGCUCUAAAUGUUGGAUUUCUGAUGCUUGGUGGUUUAAUGUUGGUGAUAAUAUCUAUUAGCUGCAAGCUAAUAGAUAUCUGCAAGCAAUAUUGAGAAGAGUAAGUUUGUUUUUUUUCCUGUUGUUGAACUUGACCUGAACAAUUUCUAUGCUCUGAUUUAUGUAUUGAUUUCUGUUUGCACAGAUAAAGGCAAAAGCCUAUAUAUAUCUAUAUCUAUAUCAUAUCUAUAUAUAUAUGUAUAUAUAUAUAUAAAAAAAAACACCCAUCUCGCCCCUGCGGGCGGUUUAUCCUUUCAAGCUCGGGGUCCUGCGCAGUAUCUUAGCUGUUCCCAGGACUGUGCCCAGGACAUACAUACAUACAUACAUACAUACAUACAUACAUAUACAUAUAUAUAUAUAUAUAUAUAGAGAGAGAGAGAUAGAGAGAGAGAGAGAGAGAGAGAGAGAGAGGCACAUAUUUCACUAAUGUUCCACUGUGCAUGCUCUCGUGGUUUCCUAGAAUUAAUAACCAUAACUUUCAACCAUUCUCAGUAUCAGCUUCAACUGAAUCAAGCACUUGUUAAAUCCGCUGUUUGCAAUAAUUUGAAAAAACCUGGUUUCUGUUGCAAAAAAAACUAAGACUGUUUAUUUUUUGUGUUAUUUAUAAACUUGCUUUAUCUUUAUCUUUUUUAAUCUGUGAAGCACUUCCCAUUUUUAUUUGUAAAUAUAAAUGUUUUUUUCCAAUGUUAAAACAAAUGUUGGCAUUUUUACCAAGUAAAGUUUGAAUGUGACUAUAAUAGUCUGGUAGCAAUGUGUUUUGGUGACAUGUUUUAAAACUUUAUUGCAGUUUGUUAUCAAGACAAUUGUCGUUUGAUUCUCUUUGUGUUUAUAGUUUUGUUUUUUGUUUUUUAAAUAAAUGUGUUGUUUUGAAUCUUCAGCACGACUCUUUUGUUUUUAAUAAAGUAAAUGUCACUUACAUAUUGUCAGUACAUAGUCUGAUUUCUUGUCAAGUAAAUGUUAAGUGAAGCAUCAGGUACAGACAUGAGAUUCCUCGAGUUCAGGAGUGCCACACUUUGCAUCAGACUGUAGCUGUGAGGAAAGAGCUGGGAGGAGCUUUAAUAUCAUUGAUACAAGUUCAUCAUAGUGUCUGUGUUCAUUUGGCAGAAGGUUAAACUCUUUUUCUAAUAAAUCAGGUUUUCUGUGUUUUGAUGUACUUAAACAGGGUUAUUAUACAGAUAAAUGAUUAAAAAGAUAAACUCCAUAAAUAUUUUCUUAUAGCUGCUUAUAGAAAUGACUCCUCAGUACUGACAGGAAUUUAAGUAAAAACUUUCAGAG